AUCAAACUCGAACCCACAAACCAGUGCAGGUUCAUCACCAACACCACAACAAUGAUCACAACGAUCAUGGCUCGGGUUCACACCGCUGUCCUAGUGGUUGGACUCCGUAUGGCUCUCGCUGUUUCUUGGUUCACACCAGCCACAGCACCGCGGCCCAUGCAGAGAAAACCUGUAUUGG